ACCUCACCCUCACCCUCACCCUCACCCUCCUCGACCUCACCCUCACUCAGUCACUCUCUCUCUCUCGACCUCACCUCUCACCUCAUCCUCCUCGCCGAUUUGCCUCGAUCUCUCUCCUCCUCCCACAUCAGACAAGUGACUCACCCCGUACCGUGGAGCCUUCCUUCUCAUCCCUCACUGUGGAGCACUGGAGCCUUCCUUCUCAUCCCUCACCUCACUGUGCAACGAUUCUCCCCCACAUCAGUCAAACGGCUCUGCUUUUGUUCCCAAGCGUAUAGAUUUUUGAGAUGCUGCAGAUGCAAAGUGUCCAAAACCCAGUAUCUAUUUGUGGUACGCAUACCAGUUCUGUUCUUGUUUUAUAUCUAAAUAAAUUCUUAUUUUUGCAUAAGUAUAUAGGGGCCGUAUAUAUGUUGGAGGACUUUGGGAGAUUAAUAGUUCUCCAAAUUAUUUGAGAAUGAAACAAUGUCUCACUGCAGACUGGCAAAAACUAUUGUGCUUCAUUUGUUGGGCAUUUGUUGGAGUACUAUUGUGCUUCUCAGUCAGUCUUCUUCCAUUAGCCGUUGUAUUCGGUCUGUAUUUCGGAUUUGUCCCUAAAUCCUGAAACUAUUUCGUGAUUCUCGAAAUUUGGGAUUUCCGGAAAUUUGGUUUGGGAUCGGUCUUGAAAUUGGGAUUUCCGAAAACUUUGGUUUGUGAUCGGUCUUGAAAUUGGGAUUCAUGAAAACUUUGAUUUGGAAAUCGGGACAUGGUAGCAACUAUUUGAAAUAAAAUAGCCACUAAGCAAGAAUUUUAUGGUAUGCCAUCAAAUGAUGGCAGUAAAUCCAUAAAGCUGCCCAUCAAUUUUUUAAAUAAUAAUUGUUUUUUGUGUAAUUCAUCGAGGAUUCCACUUUAACUGUAGAGUUAAACUUCAAUCAAAUAUGAUUUAACACUUAACUCUAAAGUCAUAUAUAACUUUAAUAACUUUAAUUUUUUUAGUGUACUGAAAAACGAUUGAAUCAAAUUUGAAGUCGAACACAGCUUUUGACUCCAAAAAUUUUGGCCCAUUGGAGAUAGCCUAAUACCGUUUACUAUUAGAAAUAUAAAUAACAAAAGAUUUGUGUCUCGACUGCAGAGGCAUUUUCUGAAUCUUUCAAUUCAUUCUGUUGUAGUUAGGUGAAUUGGUGCCGAUGGCGAGUAUUGAUGUUAAUAUGAACAUAUGAUGACUCUUCUUAUCACAAGCAUAUGUAAUCACCUUAUCAUUGUGGUCACUGAUAUUGUCAUUCCCAUAUUGGGUAGGGUCUACUCCACUAAUGUCAUUGUCAGCAUCUUACCAUCUUCACCACCAUGCUUCAUCGAUUUGAACCAAAUUUCUUCUAGGUAAGAGGGAAUUGUGAUAAGGGAGUGGUUGGCUCGACGUUGAGCUCGUGGCCAUGGUAGGGUGUUGAUACGAGUAUACCCUCGAAAAUAUGUUCAUGUGGACUGACUCGCAUUUGAUCAAUUUUGACGGAAAAUUAGAUGAAAUUGACGUCAAAGAUGACAUUGAUAUGCAGCAUUAGAGCAUGUGGACAAAAUUGAUCGAAUUGGAAUUCGUGGAAUUCGUUGUUUUCCAUUAUUUUCUCGUAACAGGAAAAACACAUACAAGUACAUUCCUUGUACGAAGGGGAAACUUAGGGUUAGGGUUAAUAGCCAAGUUAAUUGGAAUCCUUAGCGGAAACAAAAACCCUACGUUAUUAGGAAUCCUUACUCAAACAGGCAAGCGCAUGGUCACAUCAUAUAUAUACACAAACAAUCAAGGAUUAAGGGCACUCAAUCAAUAUCUCCUGGCUAAUUUUGCUUGCACAGGGCCUUUAAUUAUUCUCUGCUAACAAAGAUGGACGUAGCAACUAAUCAAUUAAGUCUGAAGAGUCACAGUAUUAGUCCUAGUAGGUCCAUAGACGCCCCACUAAACCCAACAAAUGUUAGCUUUCAGAAGAUCUACCCGUGGCCUGAAGCAGGACAGGUCGAAGCUGAUCAGAAGUUUAAGCGUGGCUUGUUCAGCUUCAGCUUCCACUAAUAAUUUGCAGUACGAAAGGUUAGCUUCCAGAAAAAGAUUCCUCGGAAGCUACCCGUUUUGCAAGAAAGAACCGACACCGUCCUUUGCGAAAAGAAUCAAGAAUGGUUCAAGAGCAACAUGGACAAGGAUAAGAUCACUAUUACUAUAGGACGUGCCUGCAUGCAUCUCUAAGACUGGUCGGCUACUGAAUUUUGCUUGCUUUGCCGCGGAUUCCGGAAGGCGUUUUAUAGUUUUCGAUCUAAAGUUAGAUUGUAAUUAUUCGAUGUAAUGUUUUUUUUCUGCAUUAUUUAAUACCGAGUGUAAGAUUGAAUUUUUAUUUUGUUCAAUUUAUUAGGUACAUUUUUUUAGUAUAAAGUUUAUAAACUUAUCUGUGACAUCCUAAAUAAAAUAUUCAUAGGUAUA